rnacentral:rRNA from 1 species
GUCUACGGCCAUACCACCCUGAACGCACCUUAUCUUGUCUGAUCUUGGAAGCUAAGCAGGGUCGGGCCUGGUUAGUACUUGGAUGGGAAAAAUCAAUUGUACAUU